rnacentral:siRNA from 1 species
UUUGGGUUGCCAAUGUUGUAUC